rnacentral:rRNA from 1 species
AUUGAACGCUGGCGGCAGGCCUAACACAUGCAAGUCGAGCGGAUGAAGGGAGCUUGCUCCUGGAUUCAGCGGCGGACGGGUGAGUAAUGCCUAGGAAUCUGCCUGGUAGUGGGGGAUAACGUCCGGAAACGGGCGCUAAUACCGCAUACGUCCUGAGGGAGAAAGUGGGGGAUCUUCGGACCUCACGCUAUCAGAUGAGCCUAGGUCGGAUUAGCUAGUUGGUGGGGUAAAGGCCUACCAAGGCGACGAUCCGUAACUGGUCUGAGAGGAUGAUCAGUUACACUGGAACUGAGACACGGUCCAGACUCCUACGGGAGGCAGCAGUGGGGAAUAUUGGACAAUGGGCGAAAGCCUGAUCCAGCCAUGCCGCGUGUGUGAAGAAGGUCUUCGGAUUGUAAAGCACUUUAAGUUGGGGGGAAGGGCAGUAAGUUAAUACCUUGCUGUUUUGACGUUACCAACAGAAUAAGCACCGGCUAACUUCGUG